rnacentral:rRNA from 1 species
GACGAACGCUGGCGGCGUGCUUAACACAUGCAAGUCACGGGGGCUCGCAAGGGCAACCGGCGAACGGGUGCGUAACACGUGAGCAACCUACCUCGAUGUGGGGGAUAGCCGGCCCAACGGCCGGGUAAUACCGCAUACGAUCGUGACGGGGAGUCCCGUUACGAGGAAACCUCCGGGGCAUUGAGAGGGGCUCGCGGCCUAUCAGCUAGUUGGCGGUGUAAUGGACCACCAAGGCGACGACGGGUAGCUGGUCUGAGAGGAUGGCCAGCCACAUUGGGACUGAGAGACGGCCCAGACUCCUACGGGAGGCAGCAGUGGGGAAUCUUGCGCAAUGGCCGAAAGGCUGACGCAGCGACGCCGCGUGUGGGAUGAAGCAUUUCGGUGUGUAAACCACUGUUGCCCGGGACGAACAGCUUCUUUCGAGGAGCCUGACGGUACCGGGUGAGGAAGCACCGGCUAACUCCGUGCCAGCAGCCGC